GUUGCAAAUAAAAGAUGCGACUAACGUAGAGUGUGUUACAGCCCAAACCAUGCGUCCCUCCUGCAGCCAUCGUCCGCUACUCAAUGAAUCAAUAUUCCAGCCAUCUGUCAUCUCACCUUCCCGUUGUUGCAUCACCAUCCCCUUGCUGAAAUCGCCCCUUUGCCUGCGUUUCUCACCCCAAAAUUCAUUAACGCAGAGUGCGUUGCAGCCCAACCUAUGCGUUCCGCCGGUGACCAUCGUCCGUUCAUCGAUGAAUCAGUAUUCUAGUCAUCCAUCAUCACACCUUCCGGUCGUUGCAUCACCAUCCCCCGCGCAGAAAUCACCCCUCCUGAUACUCUCCCACAAUGCUUUAUAAAUAUAAACUCACCUCACUCUCGCCUCCCCCACCCCGAUAUUUCCACCUUAAUUGAUACUGACACUAGAGAGUUUGACAAUCCAACGACCGCUCAUCCGACUUUCCAACCAACAUUUUGGAUUCCUUCUUUCUGAACAUGGGUUUCCUUGGAAGACAACAACAUCUGAGGAUCUAAGCUCCUAAUUUUAUCUUUGAGAAAUUUAAAGUUCAAGAUCAAGUAAUCACAAGAGUACAACGAAAACAUACAAACAAGUGGUUCAAGCAAAACUCAGCUCAAAGGAUGACAAAGCUCUAAGAUUGACAGAUAUCAUGAAAGCUUAAAGUUUGUCAAAUAUCAUGGAAGCUCAAAGUAUGUUGAAAACUCAAGAAAUGACUCAAAGCAAGGACAUACAUGAAGACUCCAAGAGUUGAAGGAUUUAAAGUCUUAAGGAAGUCUUAUGUAAGUACUUCAAGUAAAACUCAAUAUAAAAACAUUGAAGCUCUUUAGGAAAAAUUAAAAAUCCUAGAAACCAUUUUUUAAAGACCUUGAAAUAUAAUUUCCAAAGUUAUAAAUUAUGAAGGUAUCAAGAGAAAAGAGUUUGUAAAAUCAAAAUCUUAAAAAACAAGUGUUUUUGAAAUCAUCAGACGCCUAACCAAAAACCCACAGGCGACUGAUUCUUUUUAUGUUUUUUAGACUGGCAGACAGAAAGGUGAUAGGCGCCUCACGAUAGCCAGACAGGCACCUGCCUUGUCAACUAAGGCGACUACCAAUGUUUUGACAAGCGAUUGCUAAUGUUCUGACUUUCAAAUUUAACUAAGACAGACACCUGACCAUGCAUGACAGGCGACUACCACUUGAGAGAUUUUUAAAAAUUACUAACAGGAAAGUUUCAAAAAUUGGUUUCUUGGGCUCCAAACUUUUUGCAAACUUGAGCAACACUCCAAGUAAACUUGAGGAAUAAGGAAUUAAAUUUUUAAACUCUAUAUAUAGUUCCCAAAACAAAGAUUUUUAUCACCAAGAAAUAUUUUCAGCAACUACAUACUCUCAAGUGCUCUCAAUUCACAAAGGCUAUCUUGCUCACAUCUUGCUAUUCUCUUAACUAAGUUCUUGCUGAUCUUCUCACACCGAAAUUGAGCUUUAAAGUUUGAAUCUUUCAUUCAAAGAAAGAUUAUAUCAGUAAUAGGUUUAAGGUGAGCUUCAAUUUCUCUACAUUGAGAUUUAUAUUGAAGUAUAUUUUGUGCUUAUAGUUGUACUAAGAGCAUCUUUUGUACACAAGUUCUUGUUCUUGUUCUUGUAGUUCUUGACGGUUUAGGGCUAUCGGAUCGUUGUAACCAAGCGUGGGGUAUCACUUGGAGAGGCGUUGCUCUAGCCUUAUGAAGGAGUGACCGAGUGUGGGGUAUGACUUGGAGAGGCGUUACUCUAGCCUAGCGAAGGAAUGUUUAAGCGUGGGGUAUUGCUUGUAACAGUUUGUUCCACCUGAAAAGGAAUGGUAUAGUGGAAUCUUUUGGUGGUAUUGGCCAAAGCCGAGGACAUAAUAUGGGGAUAAGUCGAACCUCGUAAAAAACGUGUUUUCACUCUCCUUCCUUAUUCUCUUUACUUUUCAGCAUAUAUACUUUGUUGUGUGUGAAUGUAAAGUGCAGUUAGCAAAAGUUAAGAACUGAGAAGAACAAGAAGACUCUUAAUAAAAGAAAGUACGUUUUGAUUAAA